rnacentral:rRNA from 1 species
UGAGGAAUAUUGGACAAUGGGUGGAAGCCUGAUCCAGCCAUCCCGCGUGAAGGAUGACGGUCCUAUGGAUUGUAAACUUCUUUUGUACAGGGAUAAACCUGCCCUCGUGAGGGCAGCUGAAGGUACUGUACGAAUAAGCACCGGCUAACUCCGUGCCAGCAGCCGCGGUAAUACGGAGGGUGCGAGCGUUAUCCGGAUUUAUUGGGUUUAAAGGGUCCGUAGGCGGGCCUGUAAGUCAGUGGUGAAAUCUCAUAGCUUAACUAUGAAACUGCCAUUGAUACUGCAGGCCUUGAGUAAAUUUGAAGUGGCUGGAAUAAGUAGUGUAGCGGUGAAAUGCAUAGAUAUUACUUAGAACACCGAUUGCGAAGGCAGGUCACUAAGAUUUAACUGACGCUGAUGGACGAAAGCGUGGGGAGCGAAC